CCUUGCAUACCUGAGGCUUUCUGAAGAUGGAAUCCAUCAGUUUGGGAAGUCAGGGCUGUCCCCUCAGUCUCAGCAGCAGCCAGAAGAUAACGGUCUCAGCACAAUCAACAUUGCUGUUUCUACAGUCUUUUAAUCUUCUCCUUUACCAAGAAAGAGAAAAAGAUAUUCUUUAUCUUUUCUUACCAAGCUAAUGAUCUUUCUUCCUCCAGAGAGGAAGUAAAUGAAUGGCUUCUCCACCCACUUUUCCAGUCUCCAGCCAUAUGACAGAAGUCCCUGCUGGCCUCAGAGCAGGAAGCAGUAGUGUGUUGAUCCCAGCCUUUUUAUUGCUGCUAGCAAUUAUCAUAAAAUUACUUUAUUGUGCAUGUGACAGUUGGUGACAGUCAAAGCAGCCUCUGCCCACUCUGAUUUUUCUCAACAAAAACUAUUAACCCAUGAGGGAUUGGAUGCUGGAGACUCCUUUUCUUUCACAUAAUAUGCAGCAUCUGCAACAGCUUGAGAGGAAUUUGGAGAAAAUCCUAGAGAAAAGUAUUAGGGCUCAGAAAGGGAAAUAAGUUUUCAAAGGAAGAUGGUAUUUUAAGCGGUUCAGUGUCAGCAUGACUUCUAAGGGCUAACAAGAAGCCCACUGGAAGGCUGUGAGGAACACUCCCAAAGGGAAGUAGCAAACUGGUGACAUAUAGAAGAUUUUAGGAUCACCUUUGGCUAUUUAGCAACCACUGCCCUUACGAGACAUCAAUCUAGAGCAAACCCUAGACCUUGAACCAAAAAUACAUUGCAAGCUUGGUUCUAAUUUAGGAAGAGGUGCAAACCUGUUUUCCUGCAUGAUUAACAGAGCAGAAGGCGGAGGGGGAAGCGAACAAGAAAACCAACCAUGUUCCUGCUUAACAGUCUUGGCAUGUCUGGCCUCAGGUACCCAAUCAGAUGCAGAGCUUUCUUCUCCUGCAGUACGAGCCACAUUAAACUUAGAAAUGAAGAGACUUCAACCCCCCAACAAUUGUAAUUCUCAGGUGCUCAAGAGCCUUUAAUUCAUUAUGAACCUAGAGGCAGAGACUUUAAAAAAAAAAAAGGCAAAAAAAUACAUCACAUCCUUAAUCUAGGAAAAAAGUCAGCAUUUUUAUAGCACAUCAUCAGACACUUACAAAUAUAUUUCACUGAAGGAAUGGGAGGGUAGGACUGUGCGUUUCCUAUUUCCUUUUCAAUAGUCUGAUGCACAGAGGCCAUCAACACAGCCAUUAGAGAUAAUCUGCACACAAGUCAUUCCUAAAUCAAAAAGAGAUUUAAAAAUGAACAAAAAGGGAG
ensembl:lncRNA